GACGAACGCUGGCGGCGUGCUUAACACAUGCAAGUCGAACGAAGUGGCGAACGGGUGAGUAACGCGUAAUCAACAUGCCCUUCAGAGGGGGACAACAGUUGGAAACGACUGCUAAUACCGCAUACUGAAUGAGGGGAAUGCGUCUGAUGAGCUAGUUGGAGGGGUAACGGCCCACCCAGGCGAUGAUCAGUAGCCGGUCUGCGAGGCUGAACGGCCACAUUGGGACUGAGACACGGCCCAGACUCCUAUGGGAGGCAGCAGUGGGGAAGCUGCCGCAAUGGACGAACGUCUGACGGAGCAACGCCGCGUGAGUGAUGACGGCCGUCGGGUUGUAAAGCUCUGUUAAUCGGGACGCGGUACCGGAAUAGAAAGCCACGGCUAACUACGUGCCAGCAGCCGCGGUAAUUC
rnacentral:rRNA from 1 species